AUCGCUUCUUGGCCUUUUGGCUAAGAUCAAGUGUAGAAGAUUUCCUGGCUUCUGUUACACUAUCUUCAUCUUCACCAGGACUAUUCUCAAUAAUACAUUUGUUGCCCCGUGUCUUGGAGAUCCUGCGGCUUUGAAUCUGUAGGACUUGCUCCUUUAUGUACUCUAGUAGUUCACAGAUGGAGUAGAUGUUG